UACGUAGGGGGCGAGCGUUGUCCGGAAUCAUUGGGCGUAAAGCGCGUGUAGGCGGCUUGGUAAGUCUGGUGUGAAAUCUUGGGGCUCAACCCCAAGCCUGCACUGGAUACUGCCUCGCUAGAGUCCGGGAGGGGAGAGCGGAAUUCCCAGUGUAGCGGUGAAAUGCGCAGAUAUUGGGAAGAACACCGGUGGCGAAGGCGGCUCUCUGGAACGGUACUGACGCUGAGACGCGAAAGCGUGGGGAGCGAACAGG
rnacentral:rRNA from 1 species